CGGGACGGGUGAGUAAUGUCUGGGAAACUGCCUGAUGGAGGGGGAUAACUACUGGAAACGGUAGCUAAUACCACAUAACGUCGCAAGACCAAAGAGGGGGACCUUCGGGCCUCUUGCCAUCGGAUGUGCCCAGAUGGGAUUAGCUAGUAGGUGGGGUAACGGCUCACCUAGGCGACGAUCCCUAGCUGGUCUGAGAGGAUGACCAGCCACACUGGAACUGAGACACGGUCCAG
rnacentral:rRNA from 1 species